rnacentral:rRNA from 1 species
AUUGAACGCUGGCGGUAGGCUUAACACAUGCAAGUCGAGCGAGCGGCGGACGGGUGAGUAAUGUCUGGGAAACUGCCUGAUGGAGGGGGAUAACUACUGGAAACGGUAGAUAAUAACGCAUACCCUCAGAAGUGCCCAGAUGGGAUUAGCUAGUAGGUGGGGUAAUGGCUCACCUAGGCGACGAACCCUAGAUGGUCUGAGAGGAUGACCAGCAAAACUGUAACUGAGACACGGUCCAGAAUCCUACGGUAGGCAGCAGGGGGGAAUAGUGCACAAGGGGCGCAAGCCUGAUGCAGCCAUGCCGCGUGUGGGAAGAAGGCCUUAGGGUUGUAAAGCACUUUCAGCGAGGAGGCGUUACUCGCAGAAGAAGCACCGGCUAACGCCGUGCCAGCAGCCGCGGUAAUUC